rnacentral:rRNA from 1 species
UCUACGGGAGGCAGCAGUGGGGAAUAUUGCGCAAUGGGCGAAAGCCUGAAGCAGCGACGCCGCGUGAGGGAUGAAGGUCUUCGGAUCGGAAACCUCUGUCAGCAGGGAAGAACGGUCACUGUGCUAAUCAGCAGUGAAUUGACGGUACCUGCAAAGGAAGCACCGGCUAACUCCGUGCCAGCAGCCGCGGUAAUACGGAGGGGGCGACAGUUAAUCGGAAUUAAUGGGCGUAAAGCGCACGUAGGCGGUAUGGCAAGUCAAGGGUGAACUCCCCGCGCUCAACUAGGGAACUGCCUUUGAAGCUGGCAACCUGGAGUGUGUGAGAGGAUAGUAGAAUUCCAGGUGUAGGAGUGAAAUCGCUAGAUAUCUGGAGGAACAUCAGUGGCGAAGGCGACUAUCUGGCACAUAACUGACGCUGAGGAGCGAAAGCGUGGGUAGCAAACAGGAUUAGAUACCCCUGUAGUC